CACCCCAGAAAUGGGCAAAGAGACACCUUAUUGGCAGUGGUGCUCUUCUAUCAGUCAGGGAAAGCAGAUGGCAGGCCUUUGCUCAUCCUAGCUUGAUGCCUGGCUUGGUGGCCAGUGUCGUGUUAUGCCUGGGACUCACAA